rnacentral:lncRNA from 1 species
GAAGCAAUCAAGCAAUCCAAGUAAGGUACAUAUAUGAAGGUUAAUUAAUACCUUCGUAAUAAUUAUUUAACAUACACCUUCGAGGGCACGAACGAAGCAAUGCAAGCAAUCAAUCAAGCAAUCAAUCAAGGUACCUUCGUCAUUCGUACGAACGAACGAAGGAUGAUAAAUAAUAAACCUUCGAAUGAAUGAACGAAGGUACAUAUCAUCAUAAGUCAACGUCACGCGAGUUACUCAUGUAAAUCGCGUAUAUAGUGAAUAUGCAUAUGGUAUAUGCUAAUAAGCGUACGCAUGUACGUAUGUACGUUCGUUCGAACGAACGAAUGAAGGUCGAACGAAUGAAGCAAGCAAGUAAUAAGUAAGGUACGUACGUAUGUAUUAUUAUUUAUCACCUUCGUCCGUAUUUAUUAUUAAAUCAUGCAUGAAAUUCCCGUUGCUCGUCCAUAUUGCUUUAACAUAUAUUUACGAACGCGACCUGUAUGGUGAUUAGUCAUACGAGUUAAGCAAAUCAGCCAUCGUAUGGUACAUGACUAUAUAUAUCGUACCUUCGUACGCAUGAAUAAAAGUCGUAUGGAUAAAUUACAAAUGCGAAUUACUCAUCUCCGUCCGCUUAACUUAUUAUUAAUUAAUAAUAU